UGGCCUUGACAUACUAAGAACUUUCCAGAGAUGGAUUGGUGCCUUCGGGAACUUAGAUACAGGUGCUGCAUGGCUGUCGUCAGCUCGUGUCGUGAGAUGUUGGGUUAACGUCCGCAACGAGCGCAACCUUUUCCUUAUUUGCCAGCGGGUAAUGCCGGGAACUUUAAGGAUACUGCCAGUGACAAACUGGAGGAAGGCGGGGACGACGUCAAGUCAUCAUGGCCCUUACGGCCAGGGCUACACACGUGCUACAAUGGUCGGUACAAAGGGUUGCUACCUCGCGAGAGGAUGCUAAUCUCAAAAAGCCGAUCGUAGUCCGGAUCGCAGUCUGCAACUCGACUGCGUGAAGUCGGAAUCGCUAGUAAUCGCGGAUCAGAAUGCCGCGGUCGAAUACGUUCCCGGGCCUUGUACACACCGCCCGUCACACCAUGGGAGUUUGUUGCACCAGAAGUAGGUAGUCUAACCGCAAGGAGGACGCUUACCACGGUGUGGCCGAUGACUGGGGUGAAGUCGUAACAAGGUAGGCGUAGAUGA
rnacentral:rRNA from 1 species